CUUCCAGGAGGUGAAUGGACAACCACAGGCCUCAGCUUAAAUGGUCAAUAAUUCUGGGACUUUUACAGGCUCUGACCCAGCUCUCCAGCAACUGCACGACCUUCACUGCUUCAUACUCAGAAGGAAAAUGUUUCAAAUCGCAGCCUUGGAUUUCAGCCCAUGGUCUGGACUGAGAUUCCAGUUCAAAAAUGUCAGAAUUGAACAGAAAUUUAUUGUCAUGUGAACUUGUACAGCGAAACGUUUUAUAAGUUGCCCCACCAUGGCUCCUACAUCAAUGGACCAGACCACUGGAUAACCUGGACGUAAGAGGUGAAGACCUCCACAUGGGGACAAAGCUGCCAUUUUCUCAGAAGGCCUCCACCCAAAGAGACUGCCGUGCCAGGCUGAGACCACCUUCCUCUUCCUUCAGGUGCCUGCGCCUAGCUGCUGUCAUGGAGCCUUGGUCUAACCUGAGAGUCCUGGCGGGCCACUCAGCCUGGGAUCUGUUCCCUCACUUGCUGGGGUUAGAGCUGUGUUUGAUUUAUCCUGGCUUUGCUGCUGCUGCUGCCAACAGCUCCUCCUUCACCAACCACGUUCCACGCUUCAAAGAAAACAAAGAAAGAAAGAAAAACAGCGAAAGUAAAAAGAAUAAGGAAAGAAAGAAAGCGGACGGGAGUGGACGAGCCCCUGGCUCAUACCCCUCCUUCUCGCUGCCAUCUUGAAAAUGAUCAGGAGUUACGUUUCACAUAAUCUUCCAUUAAAUCCAAAAUCUUUAUGAGAAUUUUAAACAGUACAGAUUCAAUCAAAUUCUUUGAGUUGCUUUCAUCCAGGCAGUUGGAGAACUUUCUACCACACUCACAACUUGUACCUUUUUGAGAAUCUGACAGCCAGGUGCUUUAUUAUCUGAACAGGGAUAACACCCUCAGAUUCAUAUCAGUGCUCAGUGAUUCAUAGAUGGCAUGUGGCAUGAAUCACGCUCGAAGUUGAUCAGCAUGGUCUGGAACAGAACCAAUUAUGCAGCACCAGAACUUAAUGACUGCACUACAGAAGAAUACAGAAAGAUUAAGGAGAAAAAUACCAACCCGAUUCUUCUUCCAAGCACUUUGAUCCCAUUGCAUGAAAACAACUUGAAAGUUUUUGAUCACCAGCAGUUGGGACUAUUGACAAAAAGUGUAGUACCACAGCAACUCGUCAAAAUCAAAUUAUUGUCAAAUGCAUAACGUUACAGAGCAGC